rnacentral:rRNA from 1 species
UCCUACGGGGCGCAGCAGUGGGGGAUAUUGCACAAUGGGCGCAAGCCUGAUGCAGCGACGCCGCGUGAGCGAAGAAGUAUUUCGGUAUGUAAAGCUCUAUCAGCAGGGAAGAAAAUGACGGUACCUGACUAAGAAGCUCUGGCUAAAUACGUGCCAGCAGCCGCGGUAAUACGUAGGGGGCAAGCGUUAUCCGGAUUUACUGGGUGUAAAGGGAGCGUAGACGGCGAUGCAAGUCUGAAGUGAAAGGCUGGGGCCCAACCCCCGGACUGCUUUGGAAACUGUAUGGCUGGAGUGCAGGAGAGGUG